rnacentral:rRNA from 1 species
AUUGAACGCUGGCGGCAGGCCUAACACAUGCAAGUCGAACGAGUGGCGGACGGGAGAGUAAUGUCUGGGCAACUGACUGAUGGAGGGGGAUCACUACUGGAAACGGUAGCUAAUACCGCAUACCAUCAGAUGUGCCCAGUUUGGAUUAGCGAGUUGGUGGGGUAACGGCUGACCAAGGCGACGAUCCCUAGCUGGUCUGAGAGGAUGACCAGUCAUACUGGAACUUAGACACGGUCCAGACUCCUACGGGAGGCAGCAGUGGGGAAUAUUGCACAAUGGGCGCAAGCCUGAUGCAGCCAUGCCGCGUGUAUGAAGAAGGCCUUCGGGUUGUAAAGUACUUUCAGUGGGGAGGCGUUACCCGCAGAAGAAGCACCGGCUAACUACGUGCCAGCCGCCGCGGUAAUAC